rnacentral:rRNA from 2 species
CAGCCGCCGCGGUAAAACCAGCACCUCAAGUGGUCAGGAUGAUUAUUGGGCCUAAAGCAUCCGUAGCCGGCUCUGUAAGUUUUCGGUUAAAUCUGUAUGCUCAACAUACAGGCUGCCGGGAAUACUGCAGAGCUAGGGAGUGGGAGAGGUAGACGGUACUCGGUAGGAAGGGGUAAAAUCCUUUGAUCUAUUGAUGACCACCUGUGGCGAAGGCGGUCUACCAGAACACGUCCGACGGUGAGGGAUGAAAGCUGGGGGAGCAAACCGGAUUAGAUACCCGGGUAGUCCCAGCUGUAAACUAUGCAAACUCAGUGAUGCAUUGGCUUGUGGCCAAUGCAGUGCUGCAGGGAAGCCGUUAAGUUUGCCGCCUGGGAAGUACGUACGCAAGUAUGAAACUUAAAGGAAUUGGCGGGGGAGCAC